AUUGAACGCUAGCGGGAUGCUUUACACAUGCAAGUCGAACGGCAGCGGGUCCUUCGGGAUGCCGGCGAGUGGCGAACGGGUGAGUAAUGUAUCGGAACGUGCCCAGUAGCGGGGGAUAACUACGCGAAAGCGUGGCUAAUACCGCAUACGCCCUUAGGGGGAAAGGCGGGGAUCCUUCGGGACCUGUCACUAUUGGAGCGGCCGAUAUCGGAUUAGCUAGUUGGUGGGGUAAUGGCCUACCAAGGCGACGAUCCGUAGCUGGUUUGAGAGGACGACCAGCCACACUGGGACUGAGACACGGCCCAGACUCCUACGGGAGGCAGCAGUGGGGAAUUUUGGACAAUGGGGGCAACCCUGAUCCAGCCAUCCCGCGUGUGCGAUGAAGGCCUUCGGGUUGUAAAGCACUUUUGGCAGGGAAGAAAUUGCUUGGGUUAAUAGCCUGGGCCG
rnacentral:rRNA from 1 species